AUGAUUGCCAAGGAGACUACUGUCAAGAUUUAUUGUAAAAAAUUAGUUUUAUUUUGGUCUGUAUUCAUCCAAAACCGAUUUAAUGGCUUCAGAAGACAUUGACCGAGUUGUAUGGAUUUCAUUUAUGAUGACUUAAGAUGCUUUUAGCUUCAGUGUUCUGGUCACCAAUUACUUGCACUGAAUUGACCAACAGAGCUGAGAUAUUCUUCUAAAAAUCUGUGGUUGUAUUCAGCAGAAAAAAGAAAGUCAUACACAUCUGGGAUGGUAUGAGGGUAGAAAGACCCGCCAUUAAUGUAUCCAAGCAGCAAAUAGAGUUUCUCAUGAAUCAGGGAUACUCCAUAAUGCGGAAGGCUAAGAUGCUGGGCUGCUCCUCUUCUUUUCUGUAUAGGAAAGCGAAGUCAUUUAGAAUCCUUAUACGUAACCGGCAAAGGCACGUGACUGAUGAGGAGCUCAUGCAGCAACUCAGAAGACUUCAAUAGUCUCUAUCUUAAUACAGGGAGUGAGAUCAUGAGGGGAUUGCUACUGGCUGAAGGUCUGUUUGUCCAGUGGUGUAGAGUCUGAGAAGCUCUGACACUAAUUAAUCCAGUUGCGGCUGCACGCAGAUGGAGUGGUGCCAUUGCCAGAAGGGUUUACCAUGUUCCUCAUCCCAACAGUUUAUGGCACAUAGAUGGAAAUAUGUGACUGAUUAGGUAAUAUGCUCUUUAUAUGCUUUUAAAUCAUUAUGGAGUGCGAUCCGACUAUGGUGGUGAAAAUUCACAAAUCGCCCUCUUCAUGAAUUUUGUGCAAGGUCUGGAACGGAGAAGUCACAUAACAAGAGAAUCUGUCCAUAAUCAGCGCAUAGAGCGGCUUUAGAGAGAUGUUUUCCUGCAUGUACUCCAAUACUUGUACUACUUAUUUUACACUGGAAGAUUCACAAACUCGCCCUGCAAAUUGUCUUUUUGCCAGACUGUAUCUCUUUAGGAAUGCAUGGAAACACCACAGAAUAAGAACAGAGAACAAUCAAACACCAGUCCAAAUCUGGAGUGCAGGCAUGCUGUCCAACAUGGGAACAGACUGCAGAGCCAUCAAAAUUGUGUUUGGUGAGGAUCGUUGCAUCACACAGAGCUUGGACGAUGCUUUGGCACAUGGCAUUGACAGCUUUCCUGUGACUGAUGAUGAUGAACAUUUCCCAGCUGUGAUUGUGGAACAACCCAGAAUCAAUCUGAUCCACCAGCAACAGCAGCAAAACAUUAUGCAGGCAAUUGAGACCAUCUCAGACGUUACCUUAAAGUAUCAAACACUACAGGAUGGCUGAAGUUUUUCAUUUUGAUAUGCACUAUAUGUCUGUUUUCCCAGUAAAGAACCCUCAGAGUGAUAAACCUGCAUAUAUUGAUUAUAUUGAACACACUUGCGAUUUUUGUAGGAUGUUGGCUGGCAUGAUAUAAUCUUUGUUAAAUUGUGUAAUUUUGAAUUAACUAAAUUUCACUUUCUUUUACUUUCUACUUUGCCUCAAAAAUUGUUCAUGUACUUUGGCCAUUAGCCUCCUGACUGUGGCCUUAUCAAAGGGAUAUUCCCCAAGAACAGUAGACAGCUUUUGAAUCCCCAGCAGGUUAAUACCAUACUAUCUGGGUCAUGCUAUAAAAAAAGUUUUCAUCAGUAUUUCUAAGGUCAAAGAUGAACAAAGGAUCCACAGAAAUAAAAUUAAAUAUGAUUCAGGUUUUAUUUUACCAUGUAUGCAGUGAAACAUUUAUAUGUUUGGUGUAUGAUUGUGUUUCUACUUUUUGAUGUAGUGUAUAAUUCAGUUUAUAACAAUUACAAUUGUUAAUGUUGAUAAAUGGAAUAACCUGAUUUCGAAACCACAUGUGUAAUACAUUUGUCAAAAGAUAAAUCUGAGAACUUCAAACCAAUACCCCGAGAAUCUGAAACAAUAUGCAAAAUAUAUACUGGUACCGGUAACUGCAAUGAAAGUAUAAAUCUAAUAGUAGGUGUAACAAUAGCAGUAAAACAAUAACAGUAAAUGGGGGAUUAGUUCACAAUGUACAAUUUUGGAAUAUUGAACUUGCGCAUUGUAAUUUUUAAAAAGGAACCUUUAAAGAAUAGUUAACCAAAAAUUGAUAAUUCUCUAAACAUUUAGUAACAUUUACUUUCUUCCGCAGAACUCAAACAAUACUGUUUUGAUGGAGAUAUGAUGUCCGUUUGUCUGUACAAUGCAAGUGAAUGGGAACCAAAUUUUCAAGCUCCAAAACCGACAUAAAGGCAGCAUGAGGGUAUUUAAAAUUACUUGAGUGGUUUAAUCCAUGAUUUCUGAAUUGAUCCAAUCAGUUUUGGGUGAGAACAGACCAAAAUGUAAAUCUUUUUAACUCUACAUCUUGCCAUUGCUGUCUCGGUGCAAGAUCAUGAUUUCAAAGUUGUUUACACUAACUAGUGCUUGACAGACGGGCACAGCACUGUGCGAUGUAAUCAAGCUUGAAAUCAUGAUUGCAAAGGAGACUGCUGAUGUCAACUUUUAUUGUGAAAAAGGAGUUAUAUUUUGGUUCCCAUUCACUUGUGAUGUAUUAAUACAUUUCCUUAAUAUACACUAUCCAUGAAAAUAUCUUUGUUUGUAUUCCAUGGAAGAAAGUCAUACAAGUUUGAAAUGGCAUAAGUGUAGAGAAUGACAUUUUUGGGUAAACUAUUCCUUUAAGAUGUGCUUAAACAUUACUGUUUCAUUCAUCACUUUUACAUAAUGUAUGUAAAAGGUAU